CACUUCCGAAAUAAUUCAAAUAGGGCAUGUUUUACUUCCGAUUUGUCGUUUCUACGUAUUAAAUUGUUAGCUGUUGACAAAGGAUUUGAGCCAAGAACAAUGGAACACCCAAAUGCAUUGUGAAAUUGUGAUAAAUCUGGUUUGGCCAACAUAACAAGAGAUCAAACGUUGAGGCGACAACAAAAUAGGACCAAUUGCCUCCGCCGCCGUAAAAUUUCUAACAAAUAAAAUGUUUAUCAUUUGUUUUGUGACAUGCACGACGGGUGUGCGAAUUACAUUGAGCCCUGGUCACUGCCGACGUCGUCGUCCUUUUGCGGCCUGGGCCUGAUAAUGACAUUACCAAGCGGCCCAGCACCGCAUGACGUCACGAUGCGGCCAGCCCAGUGGCGAGUAGAAUGUGUGGCAACGUUGUUUUUAGGUCACAAACAUAAAGCGACAAAUUGACGCAAAACAUAUAACGCACUCCUCCGCCCCGGCCACGACCACGACCACGGACAGCCAACAACCAGGACAUGGUCAACAUGGGUACAGAUGGACGGCGGCGGCGUCUCUUUAUAGAGGAACACCUAGGAAAAAAUUCCCUUGAAUUACGUUGUUGCACCCUCUGUCUGCCUCUGUGCGUGUGUGUGUGUGUGUGUGUGUGUGUUUGUUAGCCCUUGGGUUAUGCGCAAAAAAGGACAUCUUCGCUGGCGACGAAACGUUAUGCACUCCAUUAUGCAUUUUAUGUGCCCUCAUUGAGCGUGUUGACAUUUUUAUUCCAAGCAGUUAAGCAAUAUUUAUAAACUGCCGCCCGCACGCGUAUGGACCAGGUUAUAGGCCAAUAGACCAUAAAAAAAAACCCUGGACAAGCUAUCUGAAUACUGGGUAUAAAUAGUGGACAGGCAUGCUGAAACUUGAGCCUGAAAAGCUAUUGGCAGCAUGAAGAAUAUCUACAAAUUCUGAUAAUUCAUUGAAGAUUCUUAAGCAAUCUCUCGAAGACACCAUAAAAACUGGGGUCCGCUUAGAAGAGCUUUUAUCUUAAGACGGCGCUUAUUUAUUGUUUUUGGCCAGCUGCUUAGAGACACCUUGGAGCAGCAUCAAUGACCGUGGAAGCGCCUCAUCUAAUUGAAUCACAAUAUUUUUUCAAUUUGCAUCGCUUGCCCUGGUUUGUGCAGGUGUAAUCCGAAAUGCAAUCAACAGCUUUUGUAUUAUUUGGCGGCACUUGUUGUUCUUGCCGGUGUGGGCUUCGCCCGCCCAGUGCGCAAUUUACCGGACAAAUGAUUUUUGGUGUAAUUACCGAAAAGGUAGCGGCAAACGGACCUGCCGUCGCUGCCGGCUCCUGCUGCUGUCAGAUCCAUCUCCUGCACACUUUGGCUAAUUAUAGGCCAAAAGGCAACGGCGUCUCCUGCUAGGUAAUCAGCCUUUCAGUCGUUUUGGCUACUGUACUGGAUGAUGAUGAUUGAUUAGCCCAUUGCACUGAUGAGCUUCUUAUGUGGGCCAAGCGAGCAGCCAACCAAGCCAAGUCAAGCGGGUUUCUUUUGCAUCUGCUGGCUGCGACAACUGUGCAAAUUUAGCGCGUGCCGGCAAAGAAAAACCUCACAGAGCAGCUGAAGCUGUAGCUGAAGCUAAACAACAAAUCGAAAACUGAUUUGGAGCGGAAGUUCGUUUGCACCUUUCUGCAGUUUCCUGUGUGCAGAGCAACAGCAACAGCAGCAGCAGCAGCAGCAGCUAAACACACUGCACUACACAAACAAACA